rnacentral:rRNA from 1 species
GGCCACAGCCAUAUCACCCUGCAGCCCAAGACCUUUUACUCACUGAAGCUAAGCAGGGCUGAGCCUGGUCAGUACUUGGAUGGGAGACCACUAGACCACUUAUUUAGUCUGUGUGAGUC